GUUUCCUACGGGACGCAGCAGUGAGGAAUAUUGGUCAAUGGGCGCGAGCCUGAACCAGCCAAGUCGCGUGAGGGAUGACGGUCCUACGGGUUGUAAACCUCUUUUGUCGGGGAGCAAAUUCCGCCACGUGUGGCGGAGUCGAGAGUAUCCGAAGAAAAAGCAUCGGCUAACUCCGUGCUAGCAGCUGCGGUAAUACGGAGGAUGCGAGCGUUAUCCGGAUUUAUUGGGUUUAAAGGGUGCGUAGGCGGACUGUCAAGUCAGCGGUAAAAUACGGGGGCUCAACCUCCGCCCGCCGUUGAAACUGA
rnacentral:rRNA from 1 species